AGUCGAGCGGGGAAAGGUAGCUUGCUACCUGACCUAGCGGCGGACGGGUGAGUAAUGCUUAGGAAUCUGCCUAUUAGUGGGGGACAACAUUCCGAAAGGAAUGCUAAUACCGCAUACGCCCUACGGGGGAAAGCAGGGGAUCUUCGGACCUUGCGCUAAUAGAUGAGCCUAAGUCAGAUUAGCUAGUUGGUGGGGUAAAGGCCUACCAAGGCGACGAUCUGUAGCGGGUCUGAGAGGAUGAUCCGCCACACUGGGACUGAGACACGGCCCAGACUCCUACGGGAGGCAGCAGUGGGGAAUAUUGGACAAUGGGCGAAAGCCUGAUCCAGCCAUGCCGCGUGUGUGAAGAAGGCCUUUUGGUUGUAAAGCACUUUAAGCGAGGAGGAGGCUACCGAGAUUAAUACUCUUGGAUAGUGGACGUUACUCGCAGAAUAAGCACCGGCUAACUCUGUGCCAGCAGCCGCGGUAAUACAGAGGGUGCGAGCGUUAAUCGGAUUUACUGGGCGUAAAGCGUGCGUAGGCGGCUUUUUAAGUCGGAUGUGAAAUCCCUGAGCUUAACUUAGGAAUUGCAUUCGAUACUGGGAAGCUAGAGUAUGGGAGAGGAUGGUAGAAUUCCAGGUGUAGCGGUGAAAUGCGUAGAGAUCUGGAGGAAUACCGAUGGCGAAGGCAGCCAUCUGGCCUAAUACUGACGCUGAGGUACGAAAGCAUGGGGAGCAAACAGGAUUAGAUACCCUGGUAGUCCAUGCCGUAAACGAUGUCUACUAGCCGUUGGGGCCUUUGAGGCUUUAGUGGCGCAGCUAACGCGAUAAGUAGACCGCCUGGGGAGUACGGUCGCAAGACUAAAACUCAAAUGAAUUGACGGGGGCCCGCACAAGCGGUGGAGCAUGUGGUUUAAUUCGAUGCAACGCGAAGAACCUUACCUGGUCUUGACAUAGUAAGAACUUUCCAGAGAU
rnacentral:rRNA from 1 species